ACUCCUACGGGAGGCAGCAGUAAGGAAUAUUGGUCAAUGGACGCAAGUCUGAACCAGCCAUGCCGCGUGAAGGAUGAAUGCCCUCUGGGUUGUAAACUUCUUUUAUAGGGGACGAAAAAGGGUCUUUUCAGAUCAACUGACGGUACCCUAGGAAUAAGCACCGGCUAACUCCGUGCCAGCAGCCGCGGUAAUACGGAGGGUGCAAGCGUUAUCCGGAUUUACUGGGUUUAAAGGGUGCGUAGGUGGGUUGGUAAGUCAGCGGUGAAAUCUUCGAGCUUAACUCGGAAACUGCCAUUGAUACUAUCAGCCUUGAAUAUCCUGGAGGUGAGCGGAAUAUGUCAUGUAGCGGUGAAAUGCUUAGAUAUGACAUAGAACACCAAUUGCGAAGGCAGCUCACUACGGGAUUAUUGACACUGAGGCACGAAAGCGUGGGGAUCAAACAGGAUUAGAUACCCUGGUAGUCCACGCCCUAAACGAUGGAUACUCGACAUUUGCGAUAUACAGUAAGUGUCUGAGCGAAAGCAUUAAGUAUCCCACCUGGGAAGUACGAUCGCAAGAUUGAAACUCAAAGGAAUUGACGGGGGUCCGCACAAGC
rnacentral:rRNA from 1 species